CCCUUAGAUGUUCUGGGCCGCACGCGCGCUACGAUGAUGAAUUCAACGAGUUUAUAACCUUGGUUGGAAAGCCUGGGUAAUCUUUUGAACUUUCGUCGUGAUGGGGCUAGACCCUUGCAAUUAUUGGUCUCCAACGAGGAAUUCCUAGUAAACGCAAGUCAUCAGCUUGCAUUGAUUACGUCCCUGCCCUUUGUACACACCGCCCGUCGCACCUACCGAUUGAAUGGUCCGGUGAAAUCUUCGGAUUGAGACUUUGAUUUCUUCACGGAAAACGCUGUUUUAAAAAGUUGAUUAAACCUUACCAUUUAGAGGAAGGUGAAGUCGUAACA
rnacentral:rRNA from 1 species